rnacentral:misc_RNA from 1 species
AUAUCUCAAUCCCUAAAUGGCUUUUGUCAAUUAGUGGACUUGGACUUGGGAGUUGCCAGUCACUCUGGCUCUUCUUAAAUGUAUUAGCGGGACCUAAUUGUAUCUCCGGUGUGAUAAUAUCUACUCCGCUUGAUCGCAACAAAGGAUCUGCUUAUAAUCGUCCUUUUGGACAAUUCUUGAC